UGGUGGUGCACGCUUGUAAUCAAUCCUACCU
rnacentral:piRNA from 1 species